rnacentral:rRNA from 1 species
UACGUAGGUGGCAAGCGUUGUCCGGAUUUACUGGGCGUAAAGAGCGCGCAGGCGGCUGGUCAAGUCCGAUGUGAAAUCUCCCGGCUUAACUGGGAAACUGCAUCGGAAACUGAUCGGCUUGAAGGUGGGAGAGGGUAGUGGAAUUCCCGGUGUAGUGGUGGAAUGCGUAGAGAUCGGGAGGAACACCAGUGGCGAAAGCGGCUCUCUGGUCCAAAACUGACGCUGAGGGGCGAAAGCGUGGGGAGCGAACGGG